GCCUAGAGUCCGAAAGUCAAGAGUCGAUGUGUUCUUCAUAAUCUUCUUCAAGUUCCUGUUAUAAGAGAGGACUCUUCGAAAGAUAGAAAGAAGGCAAGAAGAAGAGAAGGAGGUGAAUAUGACAUUACAAAUGACUUGCUAUUGGAGAUCAUGGAAGAAUCAAUACAAAUAUUUUGGCGCUUUGUUAAAGCUGAUAAGGAUUGCACAAAUGUGAUUCGAAGAGCAGUUGAGGUUGAACUUCAAGACCCUGCAGACACUGAGAUUUUGAUGGAGGUCCGAAAAAAUCUUCAAAAGAAGGAGAAGAAGCUUAAAGACCUUUUAAGGAGUGGAAAUUGCAUAUAAAGGAAGUUCCGAAAGUGUCAAGAAGACGAAUCAGAUCACGUUCUCUAUUUCUAAAGCCCCUGUAGGGCCCA